rnacentral:rRNA from 1 species
GUGAACCACCUGAUCCCUUCCCGAACUCAGAAGUGAAACCGCUCAGCGCCGAUGGUAGUGUGGGGCCUCCCCAUGUGAGAGUAGGACAUCGUCAGGC